AUUGAACGCUGGCGGCAGGCCUAACACAUGCAAGUCGAGCGGUAACAUUUCUAGCUUGCUAGAAGAUGACGAGCGGCGGACGGGUGAGUAAUGCUUGGGAACAUGCCUUGAGGUGGGGGACAACCAUUGGAAACGAUGGCUAAUACCGCAUAAUGUCUACGGACCAAAGGGGGCUUCGGCUCUCGCCUUUAGAUUGGCCCAAGUGGGAUUAGCUAGUUGGUGAGGUAACGGCUCACCAAGGCGACGAUCCCUAGCUGGUUUGAGAGGAUGAUCAGCCACACUGGAACUGAGACACGGUCCAGACUCCUACGGGAGGCAGCAGUGGGGAAUAUUGCACAAUGGGCGCAAGCCUGAUGCAGCCAUGCCGCGUGUGUGAAGAAGGCCUUCGGGUUGUAAAGCACUUUCAGUCAGGAGGAAAGGUUAGUAGUUAAUACCUGCUAGCUGUGACGUUACUGACAGAAGAAGCACCGGCUAACUCCGUGC
rnacentral:rRNA from 1 species